rnacentral:tRNA from 1 species
GCCCGGAUGGUGAAAUAGGUAGACACGAUGGACUUAAAAUCCAUUGCCCUCAUACGGCGUGCCGGUUCGAGUCCGGCUCCGGGCACCA